rnacentral:rRNA from 1 species
CCUACGGGAGGCAGCAGUGAGGAAUAUUGGUCAAUGGGCGAGAGCCUGAACCAGCCAAGUCGCGUGAAGGAUGAAGGAUCUAUGGUUUGUAAACUUCUUUUAUAUGGGCAUAAAGUGAGGAACGUGUUCCUUUUUGUAUGUACCAUAUUAAUAAGCAUCGGCUAACUCCGUGCCAGCAGCCGCGGUAAUACGGAUGAUGCGAGCGUUAUCCGGAUUUAUUGGGUUUAAUGGGUGCGCAGGCGGUCUGUUACGUCAGCGGACAAAGCCCGGGGCUCAACCCCGGCCCGCCGUUGAAACUGGCAGGCUCGAGUUGGAGAGAAGUAGGCGGAAGGAGCGGUGUAGCGGUGAAAUGCAUAGAUAGCGCGCAGAACUCCGAUUGCGAAGGCAGCAUGCCGGCUCCACACUGACGCGGAGGCACGAAAGCGUGGGUAUCGAACAGGAUUAGAUACCCCAGUAGUC